rnacentral:tRNA from 1 species
GGAGAGGUGUCCGAGUGGUUUAUGGUUCUGGUCUUGAAAACCAGUGUAAUGAAAGUUACCGUGGGUUCGAAUCCCACCUUCUCCG